rnacentral:rRNA from 1 species
UGGGGAAUAUUGGACAAUGGGCGAAAGCCUGAUCCAGCCAUGCCGCGUGUGUGAAGAAGGUCUUCGGAUUGUAAAGCACUUUAAGUUGGGAGGAAGGGCAGUUACCUAAUACGUGAUUGUUUUGACGUUACCGACAGAAUAAGCACCGGCUAACUCUGUGCCAGCAGCCGCGGUAAUACAGAGGGUGCAAGCGUUAAUCGGAAUUACUGGGCGUAAAGCGCGCGGAGGUGGUUUGUUAAGUUGGAUGUGAAAUCCCCGGGCUCAACCUGGGAACUGCAUUCAAAACUGACUGACUAGAGUAUGGUAGAGGGUGGUGGAAUUUCCUGUGUAGCGGUGAAAUGCGUAGAUAUAGGAAGGAACACCAGUGGCGAAGGCGACCACCUGGACUAAUACUGACACUGAGGUGCGAAAGCGUGGGGAGCAAACA